UGGGGAAUAUUGCGCAAUGGGGGAAACCCUGACGCAGCAACGCCGCGUGAGUGAUGAAGGUUUUCGGACUGUAAAGCUCUGUUGUUUGGGACGAAAGUGCCUGUUGCGAACAGUUACGGGUAUUGACGGUACUAAACGAGGAAGCCACGGCUAACUACGUGCCAGCAGCCGCGGUAAUACGUAGGUGGCAAGCGUUGUCCGGAAUUAUUGGGCGUAAAGAGCAUGUAGGCGGGAAUCUAAGUCUGUUGUGAAAAUGCGGGGCUCAACCCCGUAUUGCGAUGGAAACUGGGUUUCUUGAGUGCAGGAGAGGAAAGGGGAAUUCCCAGUGUAGCGGUGAAAUGCGUAGAUAUUGGGAGGAACACCAGUGGCGAAGGCGCCUUUCUGGACUGUGUCUGACGCUGAGAUGCGAAAGCCAGGGUAGCGAACGGG
rnacentral:rRNA from 2 species